rnacentral:rRNA from 1 species
AAACUUUGCAAUGCGAGAAAUCGUGACAAGGGAACUCCGAGUGCCUGUAAAAUCAGGCUGUCCGCCAGUGUAAAUAACUGGCGAAGAAAGGGCCGGGCAAGACCGGUGCCAGCCGCCGCGGUAAUACCGGCGGCUCGAGUGGUGGCCACUAUUACUGGGCUUAAAGCGUUCGUAGCUGGCUUGUUAAGUCUCUGGGGAAAUCUUCCGGCUUAACCGGAAGGCGUCUCAGGGAUACUGGCAGGCUAGGGACCGGAAGAGGUGAGAGGUACUCCAGGGGUAGGAGUGAAAUCCUGUAAUCCUUGGGGGACCACCUGUGGCGAAGGCGUCUCACCAGGACGGCUCCGACAGUGAGGAACGAAAGCUGGGGGAGCAAACCGG